rnacentral:rRNA from 1 species
UACGUAGGUGGCAAGCGUUGUCCUGAUUUACUGGGCGUAAAGAGCGCGCAGGCGGUCGUAUAAGUCGAAUGUGAAAGCCCCCGGCUCAACUGGGGAGGGUCAUUCGAUACUGUUCGACUCGAAGGCAGGAGAGGGAAGUGGAAUUCCGGGUGUAGUGGUGAAAUGCGUAGAUAUCCGGAGGAACACCAGUGGCGAAGGCGGCUUUCUGGGUCUUACCUGACGCUGAGGAACGAAAGCUAGGGGAGCGAACGGG